AGUGAACGCUGGCGGUAGGCCUAACACAUGCAAGUCGAACGGCAGCACAGAGGAGCUUGCUCCUUGGGUGGCGAGUGGCGGACGGGUGAGGAAUACAUCGGAAUCUACUCUGUCGUGGGGGAUAACGUAGGGAAACUUACGCUAAUACCGCAUACGACCUACGGGUGAAAGCAGGGGAUCUUCGGACCUUGCGCGAUUGAAUGAGCCGAUGUCGGAUUAGCUAGUUGGCGGGGUAAAGGCCCACCAAGGCGACGAUCCGUAGCUGGUCUGAGAGGAGGAUCAGCCACACUGGAACUGAGACACGGUCCAGACUCCUACGGGAGGCAGCAGUGGGGAAUAUUGGACAAUGGGCGCAAGCCUGAUCCAGCCAUACCGCGUGGGUGAAGAAGGCCUUCGGGUUGUAAAGCCCUUUUGUUGGGAAAGAAAUCCAUCUGGUUAAUACCCGGAUGGGAUGACGGUACCCAAAGAAUAAGCACCGGCUAACUUCGUGCCAGCCGCCGCCGUAA
rnacentral:rRNA from 1 species